GACGAACGCUGGCGGCGUGCUUAACACAUGCAAGUCGAACGGAAAGGCCCUGCUUUUGUGGGGUGCUCGAGUGGCGAACGGGUGAGUAACACGUGAGUAACCUGCCCUUGACUUUGGGAUAACUUCAGGAAACUGGGGCUAAUACCGGAUAGGAGCUCCUGCUGCAUGGUGGGGGUUGGAAAGUUUCGGCGGUUGGGGAUGGACUCGCGGCUUAUCAGCUUGUUGGUGGGGUAGUGGCUUACCAAGGCUUUGACGGGUAGCCGGCCUGAGAGGGUGACCGGCCACAUUGGGACUGAGAUACGGCCCAGACUCCUACGGGAGGCAGCAGUGGGGAAUAUUGCACAAUGGGCGGAAGCCUGAUGCAGCAACGCCGCGUGCGGGAUGACGGCCUUCGGGUUGUAAACCGCUUUCGCCUGUGACGAAGCGUGAGUGACGGUAAUGGGUAAAGAAGCACCGGCUAACUACGUGCCAGCAGCCGCGGUGAUACGUAGGGUGCGAGCGUUGUCCGGAUUUAUUGGGCGUAAAGGGCUCGUAGGUGGUUGAUCGCGUCGGAAGUGUAAUCUUGGGGCUUAACCCUGAGCGUGCUUUCGAUACGGGUUGACUUGAGGAAGGUAGGGGAGAAUGGAAUUCCUGGUGGAGCGGUGGAAUGCGCAGAUAUCAGGAGGAACACCAGUGGCGAAGGCGGUUCUCUGGGCCUUUCCUGACGCUGAGGGGCGAAAGCGUGGGGAGCGAACAGGCUUAGAUACCCUGGUAGUCCACGCUGUAAACGGUGGGUACUAGGUGUGGGGUCCAUUCCACGGGUUCCGUGCCGUAGCUAACGCUUUAAGUACCCCGCCUGGGGAGUACGGCCGCAAGGCUAAAACUCAAAGGAAUUGACGGGGCCCCGCACAAGCGGCGGAGCAUGCGGAUUAAUUCGAUGCAACGCGUAGAACCUUACCUGGGUUUGACAUGGAUCGGGAGCGCUCAGAGAUGGGUGUGCCUCUUUUGGGGUCGGUUCACAGGUGGUGCAUGGCUGUCGUCAGCUCGUGUCGUGAGAUGUUGGGUUAAGUCCCGCAACGAGCGCAACCCUUGUUCACUGUUGCCAGCACGUUAUGGUGGGGACUCAGUGGAGACCGCCGGGGUCAACUCGGAGGAAGGUGGGGAUGACGUCAAGUCAUCAUGCCCCUUAUGUCCAGGGCUUCACGCAUGCUACAAUGGCUGGUACAGAGAGUGGCGAGCCUGUGAGGGUGAGCGAAUCUCGGAAAGCCGGUCUCAGUUCGGAUUGGGGUCUGCAACUCGACCUCAUGAAGUCGGAGUCGCUAGUAAUCGCAGAUCAGCAACGCUGCGGUGAAUACGUUCCCGGGGCU
rnacentral:rRNA from 1 species